GGGGUGGCUUUGACUACUGGGGUAAAGGCACACAAGUGACCGUCACAAAUGAUGAACCUAAAAAACCUGUAGUGUUCAAGAUGUCUGAGUGUACUACUUCAGCUACCCAAACGCUUGGCUGUUUGGCCUCUGAAUUUUCUCCUGCUACAGCACUCAGUUUCAAAUGGACCGAUGAAAGCGGAAACACCUUGACUGAUUUUGUCCAACACCCUGCAGUAGAAAUUAAUGGAAAGUCACUGAAAAUCAGUCACAUCACUGUUACAGGAAGUCAAUUAAAUCAAACCAGUAUAACAUGUCAAGCAGUGCACCCUUCAGAAACUGUUAAUGCAACAUUCCCAAGAGUUAUAGCCCAAGCACCAACCCUGAGCUUGGUCCCUGUAAUAACUCAGAAAAGUACAUCUGUCAUGUGUGUUAUUGAGGACUUCCACCCCAAAGCCCUCACUGUACAAUGGAUGGAAAAUAAUAUCAUUAUGGACAAUCAAACAAAACCGUACUACAUUCAGGAUAAAGAUACAGGUCUUUACACAGCACGGAGUCUUUACAAAGUAAGCAGUGAAUCAUGGAACAAACAUACUGAAUACACCUGUAAUGUCACGCACAUGGGCCAAGUGAAACAUGUGACAAAAAAUAUCAAAGCUACGCUAGAGCUGACCCUGAAGUCACCAAUACAGAGAGACAUAUUUCUUUUCGGUGAUGUGAUCUUGCAGGCUGUUGUUUCUGGAAAUGAACACAAAGCAGUGGAAGAUGCCUCAGUGUUAUGCACAUUGGAAAAAGAAGCUUUAACCUUAAACAAAGCUGAAGUACAAUCACAAGACAAUUCACAGUUUCAGAUAAUUCACAAUGUCACUGUUAAUAGAGAUAAAUGGUUUGCUGGUGAAACGGUCAUCUGUACUAUCAGUGAUAAAAACAUAAAGCAGGAGAUCAGUUUUAAUAAAGGAGAUUCAAACAAACCCAGUGUUGUCCUUUAUGAACAACAAAGUGACAGCACAAACCGGUCACACAUCUCUCUGGCAUGUGAGGUCAGCAGCCGUCAACUUGGUGAUGUUUAUAUUAUGUGGAAUGUAGAUCAUGGAAAAUAUGAGGAGGGCAAUACCAGUACUCCAAUCCGUCGGAAGGACACCACAUCUGUCAUCAGCUUAUUUGAAGUGUCUGAAAAACUAUUUGAAAAAUCCACAAUCUAUUGCGCAGUCGUGCAUGCCAACAUGGAGAAUACAAAAGCACCAUUAUUAAUACCAGCAAGCCAAAGUAAACCGUCAUGUCGUCCUUGCCCUGUUUGCCCUGCCGAUUAUAUUUAAUGAUAUUUUCAAUGUUUUGUCUCAGUUAAAUGGUUUGACACGCUUUUGUCUUGUUGCUCUUGUUAUGUUACAGUAUGUACCUCUGAUCUUUUGUUAUGUUUUUUGUUCUUCAUGUCUGUAUCACUGUACUGCAUGGGUCAAACACCAAUGCUAAAUUACACCAAAAACAUGUCAGGUCAAUUUAUAAUAAAUAUAAGAAAAAAAUUGUAAAAACUUUUUAAAGCAAUGAUUUAUGAUGACCGAUGUGAAUAUGUGAUACAGUUUUUGAUGUGCUGAUUCAUAUUUUGUCCUGUUGUUUAUUUUAAUGCAGUCUGAUGUUAUGUUUAUACUCAAUGAAAGAUGCUUUUACACCAAACCACUUUUUGGCAAAUAUGUGUUUUAGUGUUGAUCGUUUCUUUCUGUUUUGUCUUCUUUUACAUUUUUACUAAUAAAUCUGUGUUUGCAUGAUUUAGUCCAGCAUUUAUUAGAGGUUUAAAAUGUAUCCAUGGUUCAUCUCAAAACCAUAUAAUUUGGAAACACAGCACGUGUAGUAAUGCCACUUGUAUUCCAGCUAGAAUGAAAUCUUCUGAAUAUUGACCAAACACAUAAAGAAAAGGUGUUUUGAGUAUGUCUAGGUUAAUUAAAGUUACAGUGUUUACUUAUGCAGAACUUAUGCACAUUUAAACAAAGGUUACGCUGUUGCACUAUGACCAAAUGUGUUUCAUGUGCACAUUCAAAAUGAAAAUAAGUCAAUUCAGUGGCAGACGUGUGUUAAUGUAACACAA